CCCAGGAAAGGGGUAGCUUUUGAUCUUACACAAAGUGAAUGUAGCAUUGAGCUGGAGUAGGACUGGGAAUCUGGUAGUUUGUCCCUGAUGAGCAUAGUUUUCCAGGCUCUGCAUCAAAGUGACCCCUGACCACAGAGAGUUGCUUGAAAAUUCUUUCACAAUCCAUCGGUGUCAUCUUCUUGAGCACUGGACUUACAAGCUUGUGAACAAGCUUGGCUACAGUGCCAUUUGCAGGUUCCAUCCAUCCUCAGAAAUGUCUCUUUGCAGAGACUCUGCUGGCUCUAGGG